rfam:Streptomyces auratus AGR0001 genomic scaffold Scaffold4, whole genome shotgun sequence.
CUUCAGCGAGCCGAGCCGCAGCGGGCGGUCGGCGCCGCGGCCCUGGCCGUACGUCGCGAGCAGUGCCUGCGCCUC